UCCCUUUUGUGCUGGGCUGAAACCUGGAGAAUGGAAUUGGGAAGCCGCUGAAGGCAGACCUGGCAGAGGACAGCGCAGCCCAGAGACACAGGAAGCCGGGGUCCUGCUGACAUCGUUUGGAUCCCUGCACCCAUCAAGGCCUACGAUGCAGCCCCAAGACGAACUCCACAUUUAGAUACCAUAACACACUGCCUGGUCUCUGUUGAGGUCUGUUGCCAACACUUUACCUCUCAUCCUGGACGUGGGCAGGGGACUUCGUGAACCCAAAAGCAAAACUGCACUGCUCUCUGUAGCAGCUCCCCUGGUUGGUCUCUUCUUCCUGCCUGGUGUCCACAUUUUGAAUCCUAACUAGUGACCCCACCCAAAGACCCGAGGUGUCGCCCCUACCUCCUUUGGGUAAUUGCCACAUUCAGCCUGCAAGGCGAGGACCCCCAGCUGCAGCAGUGUCUCAUCAUUGCAGCACAGCCUCUCCUCCAGGAUAUCUUUCCGAAGCUGCAGGUAAAACUGAUGCCUUGUCAGGCUGUGCCUGAGAAAGAAGUGUAGGAAUAAAGGUGGCUGGAAUGCAAAGGGAAGGGAGAAUGCUAACACCAGUGGGUUUUUUCAGUCUGGGACAUUGGGAACCUUGGGAAGAUGAGAUACAGCCCAACGGAACCCAGAGGUCAAUGCCAAUAAGACAAGUGUGGUCUCCUUCAUCCAUCCACACUAUGCCUCCUGCCACUAAUGAGGGCUACCCUAUCCAGGCACUUCAGUAAACCCAUGGAGAUGUUUGUUGCUGUGGUUCAAGUGAGGAAAGUAUUGAGUUUGGUGUUGUUUCUAACAAGCAAAGAAAUAAAGCAGCAGUGAUCCAACUGCAAACCCAGGUCUCUCUCCCCAGCCCUCAUCACUGGGCUGCUGGGCUAUAUGUGGAGGGAGAGGGCAUGUGGGGUCAGGAAGAGAGAACUCUGACCUUGAGUGGAGCGCAUGUGAAACAAAGGGGCAAGUUCUCAUUUUGACCAGGCACUGUCUCAAAAAACUGAUUUUUCCCUCUUGUUCUAUCAGAAUCCAAUCAACAGAAGAUCAACCACAGUAACUGUUGUUAUUUAUAUGCAACUUAACAGUUGCAAAGUACUUGCCUAGCCAUGACCUCCCAGUCAGCCUGGACAUACUUAGUCCCUUAAGGAAAAAAUGAACAGGUUUGCAGCACUCACUGGAGCAGCCCAUAGUGGCUGACAAAGAACUUUAUCCUCAGGAAGAGUGUGAAGGUGUUCAUGGAGGUCUUCUGGGGCUGCUCUCUCCAGCCUUCAGGGGCUAUUUCGCACAACCUGGUCUCAUUGUCCAGGAAAAAGAACUCUUUGCCUGAAAUGGAAAUAGAAAGUGGAGAAAGAAUGGAGCAGGGAAUGCAAGCAGCCUUUUCCCCAAAUGGACAUGCAUGCUGGGGGGUGGGAAGCUGGUGUCCAGAGUGGUUUAAGUAGCAGUCAACACACAGCGCGCAGACCUCCACCCACUCUGCCCUCCGCCCUUGCUGCUGAAUUCGACACCCACACCUGACUCCCGCUUCCCUUAGGACCAGUUCUCCCCAAAGGACGGGCAGUUCCCCUUUACAGAUUGGCUGUGAAACUCGCCCAAGUUGAUCUAUAUCCAAACCCUGGAGGUGGUCACUUCUGAAUGAUAUUCCCAGGAGGCCCCUAGCUAAGGAGUUGUAGAAUUAUCCACAGGGGAGGGGCUCAGGGACAGCCACCUGAUUGGGAAGAGGCAGGUAGGGGACAAACUUUGAGGUUGUACUCACAGAGCAGGCAUACUGGUUUUAUUUAGAUUGGACAUUACAGAUCAAUAAAAAUGUUUCCCAAAGAUGCCCUUUUUGACACUUUACAAAAGGUUGACCAAACAUCAAUUGAUCACAUCAAAGCAUAUAAUAGUUGUUCUUUUUAUCUGGGUGAGGGAUCCUUCAGAGGUCUGAUGAGAACUAUGGGGAGAUAAGGACAUCUCCGGCCAGGCCUCUGUCGUACACUGAAUAAUCACACAACACUCGUGAGCUUCUCCUACAGGGGCUGGGAGAAUAGAGGGCCGCUCGCUGGACAGGGAGAGCCAGGAUUUAACCAGAAAGCCAAUGAUCCCAACUCAGCCUCCACACAGUGGUUAGAGAGAUUCAGCUACAGCAGAGGGAUAUUGAGUAGAUGGUAUAAAAGUUAUCAACACCAAAAGGAAGUCGCUUAUGUCUAACCCUAAUAAAAUGGAGCUGGGAGGCCAUGAGGGCGGGGCACUCACAUGCUAUGCCUAUACCAGAAAGUAUCACAGGAAAUGUUCUCAAACUGCAGCUUACUGCAUGAGUGACACAAGGACAGCUAGCCGCCCACACAAGAACACUUGCCUGACUUUCUGUCUCCACUAAUGAACUGACAUCAACUCCUGCCUCCAUAAUUAAUGAUCUUUUGGUUGUAAUACAACUUACAUGUACUUCUCUUUUCUGUCUACAAAGGCUUCCCUUUGCCUCAACCUCCUCAGAUGCACCUAUAGUUUGCUAUAGCAUGUGUAUCCCAGAUUGCAAUCUGCCUAUUCCCAAAU